rnacentral:misc_RNA from 1 species
UUCGUACUGCUUUUUGAAAUCUCAUUUUAUCUGUCGUCUGCUUCAUUCGUCUCGUGAUCGCAGUGUGGCAGAAACGAUUUUUGUUUUACUUAUGGACGAAGUUACUCAUGGGAAUCCGUCAUCCUGCUAGGAUCCCAUUAUUUCAAGCAUGGCAGACAAUGAAGAUCCUUUGGUUUACGAAGAUGAGGAGGCGACGGAACAAGUAGCCACCGAAGGAAGUGGAGAUGCUCCAUCAAAGGAGGAAGUUAAAGGCAUAUCCAUUCAUAGCUCUCGUUUUCAAGAUAUUGAGUUCAAGCCGGAAAUUUUGAGAGCUAUCGUUGACUGUGGCUUUGAACAUCUUUCUGAAGUUCAGCGUGAGUGUCUUCCUCAGGCUGUUUUGGGAAUGGAUGUGUUGUGUCGAGCCAAAUCCAGUACGGGUAAGACUACUGUUUUUGUAUUGGCAACUCUUCAACAAUUGGAGACGGUGGAAAAUCAGGUUUAUGUUCUUGUUGUUUGCCAUUCUCGAGAGCUAGCAAUCCAGAUCUACAAUGCAUAUGAAUGUUUGUCCAAGCACAUGACUACCAUCAUCAAGGUUGGUGUAUUCGUUGGUGGUGUGAAUAUUCGCAAAGAUGAGGAAGCUUUGAAAACAAAUUGCCCUCACAUUGUGGUUGGAACCCCUGGUCGUUUAACGACGCUGCUCCGCACGAAGAGACUAAACCUCUGCACACUCAAGCACUUUGUUCUUGACGAAUGCGACAAAAUGCUUCAAGAUACAUACAUGCUUCGAGAUGUACAAGAGAUUUUCAGCAACACACCUCGUGAAAAACAAGUGAUGAUAUUCAGCGCCACACUGAACAAGGAGAUCCGUCCUGUCUGCCAAAAGUUUAUGCAAGAUCCAACUGAAGUGGACGUUGACGACAUCGAGUCCAAACUCACUCUUCGCGGUGUCCAGCAGCACUACGUCAAACUAAAGGACGACGAGAAGAACGGAAAAUUAUUUGAGCUACUCGGCGUACUAGAGUUUAACCAGGUCGUUAUCUUCGUGAGAUCCAUUGCGCGUUGUAUGGCGCUCUGCGAGUCGCUAGGCGAGCAAAACUUGCCUGCCAUCGCCAUUCACUUUAGCAUGACUGAGGCAGAACGUCUGUCGCGCUACCAACAGUUCAACGACUCUAAAGAGCGAAUUUUGGUAGCUACACAUUGGGUCGGUCGUGGCAUGGCCAUUGAACGUGUCAAUAUCGUUUUCAACUACGACAUGCCUGAAAACUCAGACAGGUACCUGGAUCGGGUCGCUUACGCUGGUCGUUUUGGAACUCAAGAGGAAACGUGAAAGGGUUGUGGCCGUCGUGCAGCCUACCGUCAACUAUUUUGUUCCAAAUCUUUGUAUUCUACUGAAUGUGCAUCGAAAGGAUACAGCUCUGGACUCUGGGGAAUCCUCACUUAUACUCGAGUCAACCUGCAGACAGGUUGGCCAGUUUGUCCUAACGAACGCUUGAAGGUCACGAGAAACAUUACGUAAAACUGGCAUGUGGUGGUUUAGAGGUUGGGUGAGAACGACACGUGUUUCAACAUUAUCAAGCAGACCCAUCCCCAGCAACGUCACCUGCAGAAGGAAAGGCC